AUGGAGAGGAAGCGGUUGAUACAAGGUGGGACUGACCACAAAGGCUCACAGCAGCUGAACUCUUGCACCAAGAGUGUUUUGAAAGAUGAAUGGACAUUGCAGCCCAGUUUGAGAAAGCCAUGGCAAAGUCAGUUCAGAAACAUCACUUUUAGCGCUUCUGAACCUUCUCUUCCAGCAACUUUAGUCUUCAACAGCAUCUCCUUUAAUAUUGAUGGUUCCAUCCAAUAUAAAGAAAAGUCUUAUUUCUCUGCCUCCGAAGCCCUAGACGCUUACAUUGACGAUUUUUAUUUAAGCUGUAAGCUGCCUGAUAUUAAUGAUGCAAAGGUUAACCCGGAUCAGAGCCCUCUCGAAUUUCUUGCUAAACUAAACAGUGAGUCCCCUCCAUAGAAGAAAGCAGUGCCCCAUCUCAUCAGGAUUCUGUGCUCAUUUCCAGACCUGUGAAACGUGGGUUUGUGACCCUGACUAUUACCUCUUUUUCAUCGAGACAGUAGGCUUUCUCAGCUUCCCCAGCUCUCAGGAGAGGGGAACGGAGCAUGAGGCGCUGGUAGAAAGAAGAGGCUAAGAGAACUAAGGACAAGGCAAGAUAUAUUAGGACAAAUGUCAGCGAAAUGUUUUCAGGAUAUGGGUUAAUCAGCCACUCUUACUUCUGCUGGCUCAUAUUUAAAACAUUUGAGAAAUUUGCUUUCAAUUUUCUUUAUUUGCAUACAUGUAUUUGGUAUACAUAUAUGUCUAUAUACGUGUGUGUGUGUACAUAUGGAUACAUAUAUUUUAUCAGUACACAAUAUAUAUAUAUAUGGUCUCUGGGGAUACAUUAAUUUGUCACUGAACUUUUGUUUGAUUCUUUUAGCAUUUGGUUUUAAAAAUAAAUAUACUUUUAAUGGACA
rnacentral:lncRNA from 1 species